rnacentral:rRNA from 2 species
AGUGGGGAAUUUUGGACAAUGGGCGCAAGCCUGAUCCAGCAAUGCCGCGUGAGUGAAGAAGGCCUUCGGGUUGUAAAGCUCUUUUGUCAGGGAAGAAACGGUUCCGGCUAAUAUCCGGGGCUAAUGACGGUACCUGAAGAAUAAGCACCGGCUAACUACGUGCCAGCAGCCGCGGUAAUACGUAGGGUGCAAGCGUUAAUCGGAAUUACUGGGCGUAAAGCGUGCGCAGGCGGUUUUGUAAGUCUGUCGUGAAAGCCCCGGGCUCAACCUGGGAAUUGCGAUGGAGACUGCAAGGCUUGAAUCUGGCAGAGGGGGGUAGAAUUCCACGUGUAGCAGUGAAAUGCGUAGAGAUGUGGAGGAACACCGAUGGCGAAGGCAGCCCCCUGGGUCAAGAUUGACGCUCAUGCACGAAAGCGUGGGGAGCAAA